UGCUCAGGACGAACGCUGGCGGCGUGCUUAACACAUGCAAGUCGAACGCUGAAGCACCAGCUUGCUGGGUGUGGAUGAGUGGCGAACGGGUGAGUAAUACGUGAGUAACCUGCCCUUGACUCUGGGAUAAGCCCGGGAAACUGGGUCUAAUACUGGAUGCUACAUGUCACCGCAUGGUGGUGUGUGGAAAGGGUUUACUGGUCUUGGAUGGGCUCACGGCCUAUCAGCUUGUUGGUGAGGUAAUGGCUCACCAAGGCGACGACGGGUAGCCGGCCUGAGAGGGUGACCGGCCACACUGGGACUGAGACACGGCCCAGACUCCUACGGGAGGCAGCAGUGGGGAAUAUUGCACAAUGGGCGAAAGCCUGAUGCAGCGACGCCGCGUGAGGGAUGACGGCCUUCGGGUUGUAAACSUCUUUCAGCAGGGAAGAAGCCACAAGUGACGGUACCUGCAGAAGAAGCGCCGGCUAACUACGUGCCAGCAGCCGCGGUAAUACGUAGGGCGCAAGCGUUGUCCGGAAUUAUUGGGCGUAAAGAGCUCGUAGGCGGUUUGUCGCGUCUGCUGUGAAAGCCCGGGGCUUAACCCCGGGUGUGCAGUGGGUACGGGCAGACUAGAGUGCAGUAGGGGAGACUGGAAUUCCUGGUGUAGCGGUGGAAUGCGCAGAUAUCAGGAGGAACACCGAUGGCGAAGGCAGGUCUCUGGGCUGUUACUGACGCUGAGGAGCGAAAGC
rnacentral:rRNA from 1 species